rnacentral:rRNA from 1 species
AUGAAGGUCAAGUCGUCCUUUUCUAAUAGAGGUUUAUGUACUAUUGGUGACGGCCAAUCAGAGUUUUGGGAAAAUACCUGGUUGGGUAACCCUCCGUUAGCUCUACAAUACCCGACCAUGUAUAAUAUUGUGUUUAGAAAAAAUGAUUUAGUGGCUUUUAUUCUUGGGGAUAUAUAUUUGAACAUCCAAUUUCGUAGAGCAUUACUAGGUGGCAAAUGGACUAAGUGGAUUCAUUGGUUUCUAGAUUGA